rnacentral:rRNA from 1 species
UACGAAGGGUGCAAACGUUGCUCGGAAUCAUUGGGCGUAAAGCGCACGUAGGCGGCUUCAUAAGUCGGAUGUGAAAUCCCGUGGCUCAACCAUGGACGUGCAUUCGAAACUAUGAGGCUUGAGUAUGGAAGGGGGUCGCGGAAUUCCCGGUGUAGAGGUGAAAUUCGUAGAUAUCGGGAGGAACACCAGUGGCGAAGGCGGCGACCUGGGCCAAUACUGACGCUGAGGUGCGAAAGCGUGGGGAGCAAACAGG